GAUCCUGGCUCAGAGCGAACGCUAGCGGCAGGCUUAACACAUGCAAGUCGAACGAAGUUCUUCGGAACUUAGUGGCGAACGGGUGAGUAACACGUAGGUAAUGUACCCUUUGGUGGAGGAUAACUCAGGGAAACCUGAGCUAAUACUGCAUAUGUCCUUCGGGAUAAAAGUCUUCGGACGCCUUAGGAGCAGCCUGCGGCCCAUUAUCUAAUCCUAGUUGGUAGGGUAACGGCCUACCAAGGGUACGAUGGGUAGCUGGUCUGAGAGGAUGAUCAGCCACACUGGGACUGAGACACCGGCCCAGACUCCUACGGGAGGCAGCAGGUGGGGAAUAUUGGACAAUGGGGGAAACCCUGAUCCAGCAAUGCCGCGUGAAUGAAGAAGGCCUUAGGGUUGUAAAAUUCUUUUGUUCGUGAAGAUAAUGACGGUAGCGGACGAAUAAGCCCUGGCUAACUCUGUG
rnacentral:rRNA from 1 species